GAACGCUAGCUACAGGCUUAACACAUGCAAGUCGAGGGGCAGCAUGAUCGAAGCUUGCUUUGAUUGAUGGCGACCGGCGCACGGGUGAGUAACGCGUAUCCAACCUUCCCUAUAGUAGAGAAUAGCCCGGCGAAAGUCGGAUUAAUGCUCUAUGUUGUAUUUAGARGACAUCUGAAGAAUACCAAAGGUUUACCGCUAUAGGAUGGGGAUGCGUCUGAUUAGGUAGUAGGCGGGGUAACGGCCCACCUAGCCGACGAUCAGUAGGGGUUCUGAGAGGAAGGUCCCCCACAUUGGAACUGAGACACGGUCCAAACUCCUACGGGAGGCAGCAGUGAGGAAUAUUGGUCAAUGGACGGAAGUCUGAACCAGCCAAGUAGCGUGCAGGAUGACGGCCCUAUGGGUUGUAAACUGCUUUUAUAUAGGGAUAAAGUCGGGGACGUGUCCCCGUUGUAGUACU
rnacentral:rRNA from 1 species